CCUACGGGAGGCAGCAGUGGGGAAUAUUGGACAAUGGGCGAAAGCCUGAUCCAGCCAUGCCGCGUGUGUGAAGAAGGCCUUCGGGUUGUAAAGCACUUUCAGUGGGGAAGAAAGCCUUGGGGCUAAUACCCUCGAGGAAGGACAUCACCCACAGAAGAAGCACCGGCUAACUCCGUGCCAGCAGCCGCGGUAAUACGGAGGGUGCGAGCGUUAAUCGGAAUUACUGGGCGUAAAGCGCGCGUAGGCGGUCUGAUAAGCCGGUUGUGAAAGCCCCGGGCUCAACCUGGGAACGGCAUCCGGAACUGUCAGGCUAGAGUGCAGGAGAGGAAGGUAGAAUUCCCGGUGUAGCGGUGAAAUGCGUAGAGAUCGGGAGGAAUACCAGUGGCGAAGGCGGCCUUCUGGACUGACACUGACGCUGAGGUGCGAAAGCGUGGGUAGCAAACAGGAUUAGAUCCCCGAGUAGUC
rnacentral:rRNA from 1 species